AUUGAACGCUGGCGGCAGGCUUAACACAUGCAAGUCGAACGAAGUGGCGAACGGGUGAGUAACGCGUAAUCAACCUGCCCUUCAGAGGGGGACAACAGUUGGAAACGACUGCUAAUACCGCAUACUGAAGGAGGGGAUUGCGUCUGAUUAGCUAGUUGGAGGGGUAACGGCCAACCAAGGCGAGGAUCAGUCGCCGGUCUGGGAGGAUGAACGGCCACAUUGGGACUGGGGAACGGCCCAGACCCCUACGGGAGGCAGCCGGGGGGAAUCUUCCGCAAUGGACGAAAGUCUUACGGAGCAACGCCGCGGGAGUGAUGACGGCCUUCGGGUUGGAAAGCUCUGUUAAUCGGGACGCGGUACCGGAAUAGAAAGCCACGGCUAACUACGUGCCAGCAGCCGCGGUAAUUC
rnacentral:rRNA from 1 species